rnacentral:rRNA from 1 species
GUGUUAGGGGGUUUCCGCCCCUUAGUGCUGCAGCUAACGCAUUAAGCACUCCGCCUGGGGAGUACGGUCGCAAGACUGAAACUCAAAGGAAUUGACGGGGGCCCGCACAAGCGGUGGAGCAUGUGGUUUAAUUCGAAGCAACGCGAAGAACCUUACCAGGUCUUGACAUCCUCUGACAAUCCUAGAGAUAGGACGUCCCCUUCGGGGGCAGAGUGACAGGUGGUGCAUGGUUGUCG